rnacentral:rRNA from 1 species
AGCAGCCGCGGUAAUUCCAGCCCCAAUAGCGUAUAUUAAAGUUGUUGCAGUUAAAAAGCUCGUAGUUGAAUUUCGGGGUCAGUAGGUUGGUCAUGCCACUGGUAUGUACUGGCCUCACUGAUUCCUCCUUCCUGAUGAGCCGUAAUGCCAUUAAUUUGGUGUUGCGAGGAAUCUGGACUGUUACUUUGAAAAAAUUAGAGUGUUUAAAGCAAGCUAACGCUUGAAUACAUUAGCAUGGAAUAAUGAAAUAGGACGUUCGAUCCUAUUUUGUUGGUUUCUAGGAUUGACGUAAUGAUUAAUAGGGAUAGUUGGGGGCAUUAGUAUUCAAUUGUCAGAGGUGAAAUUCUUGGAUUUUAUUGAAGACUAACUACUGCGAAAGCAUUUGCCAAGGAUGUUUUCAUUAAUCAAGAACGAAAGUUAGGGGAUCGAAGACGAUCAGAUACCGUCGUAGUCUUAACCAUAAACUAUGCCGACUAGGGAUCGGAUGAUGUUAAUUUUUUAAUGUACUCA